AACGAACGCUGGCGGCAGGCCUAACACAUGCAAGUCGAGCGAACCCUUCGGGGUUAGCGGCGGACGGGUUAGUAACGCGUGGGAACGUGCCCAAAGGUACGGAAUAGCCUCGGGAAACUGAGAGUAAUACCGUAUGUGCCCCUCGGGGGAAAGAUUUAUCGCCUUUGGAUCGGCCCGCGUUGGAUUAGGUAGUUGGUGGGGUAAUGGCCUACCAAGCCGACGAUCCAUAGCUGGUUUGAGAGGAUGAUCAGCAACACUGGGACUGAGACACGGCCCAGACUCCUACGGGAGGCAGCAGUGGGGAAUCUUAGACAAUGGGGGAAACCCUGAUCUAGCCAUGCCGCGUGGACGAUGAAGGCCUUAGGGUUGUAAAGUCCUUUCAGCUGGGAAGAUAAUGACGGUACCAGCAGAAGAAGCCCCGGCUAACUCCGUGCCAGCAGCCGCGGUAAAGUCUGUACU
rnacentral:rRNA from 1 species